rnacentral:lncRNA from 1 species
GUCAUGUGACUCUCCGGUCGCGCCAUGGCGGAAGCAGAGGAGCAGGAAACUGGGUCCCUUGAAGAAUCUACAGAUGAGUCUGAGGAAGAAGAGAGCGAAGAGGAACCCAAGCUGAAGUAUGAAAGACUUUCCAAUGGGGUAACUGAAAUUCUUCAGAAGGAUGCGGCUAGCUGCAUGACAGUCCAUGACAAGUUUUUGGCACUGGGCACACAUUAUGGCAAGGUUUAUUUGCUUGAUGUCCAGGGGAACAUCACUCAGAAGUUUGAUGUAAGUCCUGUGAAGAUAAAUCAGAUUAGCUUGGAUGAAAGUGGAGAGCACAUGGGCGUGUGUUCCGAGGAUGGCAAGGUGCAGGUAUUUGGACUGUAUUCUGGAGAAGAAUUUCACGAGACUUUUGACUGUCCCAUUAAAGUACGUAUUCAGCAAGUUUUACCUUUUCUAAGGGUUUUCUCAAGGAAGGCAAUGAGGAUUACAGUAAUUUGAACAUUACCACUUCUGUAUUAAUUUUGUAUCUAUUCAACACUUCAUAUAUAUUGGAUACUAUUUAGAUGCUGUGAAAGAAGAUAGAAUGUAUAUUUUGUGACUGUGAUCUCAGUCUGUCUUCAGCGGGC